CUUGCAUGCCAAGUGGAGAUAUUCUUAAAAUCAUAAAUUGCAAGAUCCUGAUUGCUACAAACUUUGGUGAAGCUCAGAAUCAAACUUGAUGUGAUUAUCUGUGCUUUAUUCUUAAUUGCCUGAUGUGACUGUAAGCUGGAAGUCCUUUUCUUUGCACCUGGAGCAUAACAAAGAAAAAAAGAAGACCUGUAGUAAAAGGAUAUAAACAGAUCACUGAAGAAAAGUCCUGUUGUGUCUUAUUCGUAAUGCACCUAAAUAUGAAGCAAUGCAUAUGGGCUGAUGCUGAUACUGAUUUUGCAGCAUGCAAAUUGGCUAGGUCAGCUAUGGUGGAAAUUCUGUGAAGAGUCAGAUUGUGCCUGCUGGUCAUUUCAUCUGCCAUAGAAAAGUAGCUGUCCCCACGAUAAGAAUGCACGGCAAGACUAUGCAAUAUUUCACAGGUACAAGAAGAAUGUAAAGUUCUGCUAAAGCUGGAAGAGAAGAAAUAUGUGGUUAUACACGUUAG